AUCUCGUGUUUGAGAAGAGAGAGAGAGUUACAGAAGCCAAAGAGAUAGAGAGAGAUGGAGUUCGAGAUGGUAGAGUUGUGUCGGAGAAGACAUGGGAAGGGGCUCGAUUCCGUCGCACUCCGUUCGAUUCUGUCGUAGUCUUCACCACCACCACCAUGAGCUGGUGGUCGUGAGCAGAGGAGACAAUACGGUGGUACCCAGGACUGGUAUGUCUCUGGUCAAGAUCUGCGUUGGCUUCACCUCCUCACCACCACCACAGAUUUGUUAAGGAGCAGGGAAG